CUCAAAAGCAAGUUUUUACAGUCAAUGGAGUCAUCAGGAUCUGAAUAUCAUUGGCAUUUAACUGUGGAAGGAGAAAGGAUGAGGCUGUCACUGGCUCGGCCAGCAUUUAUUGCUGCGUUUACCCAGUGGGCAGUUAAGAAUCAACCACGUUGCUAUAGGUCUGGAGUCCCAUGCAGACCAGACCAGAUCCCAGUGAUCAGUGCCAAAGCCCCAUUGCCUGUGGAGAGGGUGAUGUUUGAUUUCCCUGUCCAGCUGCAGUUCAUGUGGUGAAGGUGCUCCCACAAUGUGGUUGGAUAACAAGACCGAUGCUGUUUCCAAUCAUGAUCAGAAACAAACCUCAGAAUACACAUGGUUCAUAGAUGGAUGUCAAUAGCCCAUCAACAUCCAACUCCUGCAAUUAUUCAGCAAAUGUAUGUGUGAUUAAUCAGUCCUGAUGUACCAGAAAAUCGCUGUUUACUCUGUGCAGAUGGGCAGUGAUGUGGGGAAGUAUUGGCCGAGUGAUAUUGUCGCUGGACAGUUAGUCCAAAGCCCCAGAUAAACUUCUGGAGACCUGAGUUCAAAGCCUACUGCUGCAGAUGGGUGAAUUUGAAUUAAAUUUUUAAAAACUCGGGAAUUUAAGAGUCUCAUGAUGACCAUUAAUCGAUUUUCCGAAAAACCCAUCUGGAUCACUAAUGCCCUUUCAGGAAGGAAGCUGCCAUCCUUACCUGGUCUGGCCUACAUUGUGACUUCAGACCCACAACAAUGUGGUCGACUCUUACCUGCCCCCUGGGCAAUUAGGGAUGGGCAGGAAAUGCUGCCGGGCCAGCGACACCCUCAUCUUGUGAAUGAAUAAAGGAAAAUAAAAGUCUCUACCCAGUGUGAA